GUCCCUCAAAGGAUAGAAACUUCCUUUUCCAAGAGGCUAACUUGAGCUUAAACUUGUCAAUUACAGGUUUCCAAGUGGCUAGUCUUCUGGGGCUUGUCCCUAAUGGCAACCCAAGGUCUUGCAGGCUCAUUACUACUAACAUAACCAUGUCAAGAAGGUCCUCUCGACGUUUUGCAGAUGUUGGGAAUAUUCCAUUUAUGGGCUCCCUCCAACCCAAAACUCACUCCUCACCUUUAUUAUCAAUUGGACUUGUGGUUGUGGUAAAUCUCAGUUCCAUCGCUAUAUUACCAAAUCAGUACAUUAACAACUGGAAUUUCUCUUGGAUGAGCAAAUAUGCUCGGGUGCAUUUCUCAUAAUCUGGUAUCUGUACAGUGGCUCAGGUCUGCAUUUUGUUUGUCAACUUGAAUACUCAUUUCUAGAAAUGAGCUAAAACAUCUACAUUCUAACCUUUUGGCUUUUGUGUGGUUGGUGGAUCUAGCAGUGCUAUAGAGGCUGUAAGUAAACUUGAAGGUAAAUAGUUGUGAUCUCUUGUUGAAGCCCUUGCUCUCUUGUUUCUAAUAGGACUAAUACAAUUUAGUGAAUUGGACAUGACUAGUACGUAAAGUAUUUUAUGUGGAUGCAUAACCUAAAGCUUUAUCAUUUGAUCCUUUAUUAUUGGAGGCUUGUAGAGUUUCAUUGGAAAUAUUUAUUUAUGAUAGCAUCCUUAUAUCAAAUGGAAUAAGUAAUUUUGGGGAAAUUUCUAAUUAUGAGGAUGCACACCAAGUAAAAUAUUUACAUAGUUUGCCAUCACCC